GUGGGGAAUAUUGGACAAUGGGGGGAACCCUGAUCCAGCCAUGCCGCGUGUGUGAAGAAGGCCUUUUGGUUGUAAAGCACUUUAAGUGAGGAGGAGGCUACCGAGAUUAAUACUCUUGGAUAGUGGACGUUACUCGCAGAAUAAGCACCGGCUAACUCUGUGCCAGCAGCCGCGGUAAUACAGAGGGUGCAAGCGUUAAUCGGAUUUACUGGGCGUAAAGCGCGCGUAGGUGGCCAAUUAAGUCAAAUGUGAAAUCCCCGAGCUUAACUUGGGAAUUGCAUUCGAUACUGGUUGGCUAGAGUAUGGGAGAGGAUGGUAGAAUUCUCGGUGUAGCGGUGAAAUGCGUAGAGAUCUGGAGGAAUACCGAUGGCGAAGGCAGCCAUCUGGCCUAAUACUGACACUGAGGUGCGAAAGCAUGGGGAGCAAACAGGAUUAGAAACCCUAGUAGUCC
rnacentral:rRNA from 1 species